CAGGAAGUGCUGCUGUGUGUGGGGCAGAAAGUUUGAAUCUUACUGCUGUGCAUCUGAUGUGAUAAAACAAAGUGACUCUCCAUGCAUCAGUGGAUGAUGUGGCACAUUUCCUUGAUGAAAAUGUGGAAGUAGGCUACAGUCUAAGCCAGCAAAAAUUUGAGCUGAGGGAUGAGCAGGGAGAUCUGGGCGCUGUGAUUUGUAUGCUGGGGCGAAAGGACAAUGGUGGAUUGGAGGCAGAAAAACAGCCGCUCGCCAUUCCUGUUCACUCUGGUGAAAGAUGAGCAACGAGAAGGC